rnacentral:rRNA from 1 species
AUCAGCCACACUGGAACUGAGACACGGUCCAGACUCCUACGGGAGGCAGCAGUGGGGAAUAUUGCACAAUGGGGGCAAGCCCGAUGCAGCCAUGCCCCGUGUGUGAAGAAGGGCCUCUGGUUGUGAARCACUUUCAGUUGUGAGGAAAAGGUAGUAGAUAAUACCCGGGCUAGCUGUGACGAUAGCMACARAAAACGCACCGSUAAACCUCGUGCCAGCACCGCGGUAAUACGGAGGGUGCGAGCGUUAAUCGGAAUUACUGGGCGUAAAGCGUACGCAGGCGGUUUGUUAAGCGAGAUGUGAAAGCCCCGGGCUCAACCUGGGAACUGCAUUUCGAACUGGCAAACUAGAGUGUGAUAGAGGGUGGUAGAAUUUCAGGUGUAGCGGUGAAAUGCGUAGAGAUCUGAAGGAAUACCGAUGGCGAAGGCAGCCACYGGGUCAACACUGACGCUCAUGUACGAAAGCGUGGGGAGCAAACGGGAKUAGAUACCCCGGUAGUCCACGCCGUAAACGAUGUCUACUAGGAGUUCGGUUUUUCGGAACUGUCUUCCACAGCUAACGCAUUAAGUAGACCGCCUGGGGAGUACGGCCGCAAGGUUAAAACUCAAAUGAAUUGACGGGGGCCCGCACAAGCGGUGGAGCAUGUGGUUUAAUUCGAUGCAACGCGAAGAACCUUACCUACACUUGACAUCCAGAGAACUUACUAGAGAUAGUUUGGUGCCUUCGGGAACUCUGAGACAGGUGCUGCAUGGCUGUCGUCAGCUCGUGUUGUGAGAUGUUGGGUUAAGUCCCGCAACGAGCGCAACCCCUAUCCUUAGUUGCCAGCGAUUCGGUCGGGAACUCUAAGGAGACUGCCGGUGAUAAACCGGAGGAAGGUGGGGACGACGUCAAGUCAUCAUGGCCCUUACGUGUAGGGC